CAGUAGCCGCGGGAAUACGUAGGUGGCAAGCGUUGUCCGGAAUUAUUGGGCGUAAAGGGCUCGCAGGCGGUUUCUUAAGUCUGAUGUGAAAGCCCCCGGCUCAACCGGGGAGGGUCAUUGGAAACUGGGAAACUUGAGUGCAGAAGAGGAGAGUGGAAUUCCACGUGUAGCGGUGAAAUGCGUAGAGAUGUGGAGGAACACCAGUGGCGAAGGCGACUCUCUGGUCUGUAACUGACGCUGAGGAGCGAAAGUGUGGGGAGCGAACAGGAUUAGAUACCCCGGUAGUCCCUGUCUCUUAUAC
rnacentral:rRNA from 1 species